rnacentral:rRNA from 1 species
UAGGGAAUCUUCCGCAAUGGACGCAAGUCUGACGGAGCAACGCCGCGUGAGUGAAGAAGGAUUUCGGUUCGUAAAACUCUGUUGUUAGAGAAGAACAGCGCAUAGAGUAACUGUUAUGCGUGUGACGGUAUCUAACCAGAAAGCCACGGCUAACUACGUGCCAGCAGCCGCGGUAAUACGUAGGUGGCAAGCGUUGUCCGGAUUUAUUGGGCGUAAAGCGAGCGCAGGCGGUCAAUUAAGUCUGAUGUGAAAGCCCCCGGCUCAACCGGGGAGGGUCAUUGGAAACUGGUUGACUUGAGUGCAGAAGAGGAGAGUGGAAUUCCAUGUGUGACGGUGAAAUGCGUAGAUAUAUGGAGGAACACCAGUGGCGAAGGCGACUCUCUGGUCUGUAACUGACGCUGAGGCUCGAAAGCGUGGGUAGCAAACAGG